rnacentral:rRNA from 1 species
UACGAAGGGGGGCUAGCGUUGUUCGGAAUUACUGGGCGUAAAGGGCGCGUAGGCGGCCCUCCUUGUCGCGUGUGAAAGCCCCGGGCUCAACCUGGGAACGGCGCGCGAGACGGGGGGGGCUGGAGUUCGGGAGAGGAGCGUGGAAUUCCCAGUGUAGAGGUGAAAUUCGUAGAUAUUAGGAAGAACACCGGUGGCGAAGGCGGCGCUCUGGACCGAGACUGACGCUGAGGCGCGAAAGCGUGGGGAGCAAACAGG